ACAGUCAGGAGAAGAUGCUGGAUGACGACCACCGCAUCGCUCAGGACGUAUCGCGCGCCAGCAUCAAGGCUUCACAUGACAAGUGCAGCGUCAUGUGAGGUGCGUCAUGUGAGAGAUGCAGUGGCUGCCGCGGCCAUCCUUCCAGUCUACCGUCCUCUCUUCCUCCUCUGCUUAUUAAUUGAACUAGUUAGGGCAUUUCAGUUCACUUUAUGUACGACGUUAAUGUAGAUUUAUACUUGCUAUUGAGUUGUUAUUGUUUAUAUUUAGGGAUCUAGUAUGAAAACUAGUAGGAAUUCCCCCAUAAAUCCUAGUUUGCAUGGUAAAUCGUAGGUAAAUGGGGCCCACUGGUUAGUAAAUGGGGCCUGCAUCUCACCCGUUCUGUACGCCAUGCUUGAUUGUGCGCUCCAAAUGAACUCUAGUUAAAAUGACUGCUAAAAUUCUCCACACGUGGAGAAUGAAUUAUUCUCGUCGAGUCAUAUGUAGUACGUACGUAGGUAUGAUUGUCAAUAAUACUGAAAAACUCGUGCAGCACGUGCCAAACAACUGCUUCAUGUUAGUCAUUUCAAUCGUUGUGAAGUGCGAGAUGACAAUCGUACGUAGGUGACCAGAAGUAAUUUCGUUUAAUCGUUUCAUAAAAUUUCUGGGUUUUUCUCUUGAACACUUAACAUAAAAAGCGCAUCCUGCGACGGUUCUAAAAAUUGCGUAUUUUGUGUUUAGAGGCAAAAUUAAAAAUAUCAGUUUUUGAAACAUUACGAGACUAAUUUGACAUCUCGUAUGGGUAAGACAUUGAGCGUUUUCCACACGUUUCACAGCUCGUGAUGACGAGAGGUAUUUAUUCAUUGUUAUUUUAAGUGCACGUUUGGCUUGUCGCCUGACGAUUCGUUCCAGAUUUCUCCAGAAGACAAAAAUUUUGAGGAAAAUGAUCGCAAAUUUUGUGUUUCAAGUCUACAAUUGAUGAUCAAAUCAUGAAUUUGAACAGCGUUUGGCUCAUGUAGUUCCGAUGGCAUUAUGGUUUAAGGCAUCGUGCGCCUGAUCUCAGUCUGAUUUGGUGUUGAGUUAAAUUUUACAUCAUUAAUUGUCAUAAACAAUCAAUAGUGAUAAAUCUAUAGAAGAUGCUGAAAUAGCAUAAGAUUUGCUCUUUCAGUGACAGUUUCUAUUUUAUCUCGAUUUCGAAUGAUGUUUUGCUCUACGUUACCUAUUUAAACUAGUCUUUAUUUUUGCUCUACCAUUUAAUUAUCGAACAUGACAGAAUGUCCUAUUAUGCUUACGGUAGUUUGUUUUAAUCUCUGAGAAGUUGUUGAGCCAAAGGAAUAAUGUGGGUGCCAUCUAUCCUCUAGUCUUCAUUUUGUUUGGCGGUAAUUCUGUCGUGAUAGAACUUAAUCAAUCAAAUGUUAAUUUCAUGUUCCUUACCUCAACGCGAAUCUCAUUAUAUCUACUGCAUGUUUACGGUCGUAUAAGUUAUCUUAAUUUCUUAUCCUCUUUUCCUCCCUCUAUUUACUUUCCGUAUUUUCGUAUUUAGACGGGGAAAUGAUACCAUGUUCGUAUUUUUUUCGGCAUGUUCUGCGUUGCAAAAUUUUUUCAGAAUUCACCUAGAUUUCGAUUGAUUCCGCAGAUAGUUGAAAUCCCGGGAUUAUUUUGUCAAAGUCUGUACAGUAACUAUAUUAAUGAGUUAUCACACAAGCAUAAUGAAGUGUACAUAUAAAUUUGGUGAUGUUUCGUUCACAAUAUUUACUUAGAGCUUGAAAUGUUUCCCACCUACUGUGCUGUGAAUAGCUUGACGAUCGAAGAAUACCUUCCACAAGUUCGUAGUCUUAAGGAAGCGUGAAAAGUUACCAUAUGUUGAUAUUGUAGACGUUAUAUCAACGGCCAUGAAUCUCUACUUGUCUAGUUAAUAAUUUUCAACAUACUUCCACGAAUGGACUAAAGCUAUAAGCUAAAAUCGCAUGCGUUUUUCAUCUGUUGCCUGCAUGGGCUGGCAUUAUAGAAGGUGGUUUCGUGUGCUAUUGCUUAAAGGAAAUCAUUUUCUUAAAUUUUUAACGAGACUCGCUCUAGCCCAUGACAUUAUCCGUUUGUUGAAUCCUAGUAAUAGAGAUUCACGAUACGCUAAAAAAAUUUGUUGUUAAUUAAAGAUAUGAUGACCAUGAUUUGUAUCAGGAAGGGAUUUACUCGUUAUAGAUGCGGUGUAAUUUUCGACGGUGUGUUCAGUAAACCUUGAACAGAGAUUCUAGCGUAGCGUAAGUACCUGUACUCUAGCAGUAGCAUAAUUAGUGCGUGUACUCUUUCUAUUGUGAG